UACAGAGGUCUCAAGCGUUGUUCGGAUUCAUUGGGCGUAAAGGGUGCGUAGGUGGCGCCGUAAGUCAGGUGUGAAAUUUCGGAGCUUAACUCCGAAACUGCAUUUGAUACUGCGGUGCUUGAGGACUGGAGAGGAGACUGGAAUUUACGGUGUAGCAGUGAAAUGCGUAGAGAUCGUAAGGAAGACCAGUGGCGAAGGCGGGCCUCUGGACAGUUCCUGACACUGAGGCACGAAGGCCAGGGGAGCAAACGGG
rnacentral:rRNA from 1 species